rnacentral:rRNA from 1 species
UAACUCCGGGAAACCGGGGCUAAUACCGGAUAAUAUUUUGAACCGCAUGGUUCAAUAGUGAAAGACGGUUUCGGCUGUCACUUAUAGAUGGACCCGCGCCGUAUUAGCUAGUUGGUAAGGUAAUGGCUUACCAAGGCGACGAUACGUAGCCGACCUGAGAGGGUGAUCGGCCACACUGGAACUGAGCCAGGGUCAAAACUCCUACGGGAGGCAGCAGUAGGGAAUCUUCCGCAAUGGGCGAAAGCCUGACGGAGCAACGCCGCGUGAGUGAUGAAGGUCUUCGGAUCGUAAAACUCUGUUGUUAGGGAAGAACAAAUUUGUUAGUAACUGAACAAGUCUUGACGGUACCUAACCAGAAAGCCACGGCUAACUACGUGCCAGCAGCCGCGGUAAUACGUAGGUGGCAAGCGUUAUCCGGAAUUAUUGGGCGUAAAGCGCGCGUAGGCGGUUUCUUAAGUCUGAUGUGAAAGCCCACGGCUCAACCGUGGAGGGUCAUUGGAAACUGGAAAACUUGAGUGCAGAAGAGGAGAGUGAAAUUCCAUGUGUAGCGGUGAAAUGCGCAUAGAUAUGGAGGAACACCAGUGGCGAAGGCGGCUCUCU